GGUAUCAUCAAAAGCCAGGCUCCUACAGAGAUUAACAUGAUAAUCUGCGGACAACAUGAAACCUCAUUACUCACCUCUUCAAUGGAAGGUUGCUAAAUUCUGUGCAGCAGCAUUAAAAAUAAGGCGGGCCACAGUCAAAAUAUUUGCUAACUGCUAAUUCCAAAACUCAAGAAUGACUUGAGGAAAGAUCAGUGCAUCAGAUGAGAAAACACCCAAGAAGAUUCUGCAAAACUUCUCCUUGGAAGGGACCAUGACAUUCUUUUCAAAUUUUCUGUCUUCGUGGAGAAGCCUGUUGAAUGUGGCUCACCAUCCAGAAUGUUACCCACUGCUGGUGUCUAAGCAGGUAUGCUUUCAUACUCUCCUUGGAAAGUCUUAGAGUUAAGGGAAGCAGGAUACUGGACUCACUAGGGCUCAUGUUCAUAAGUUUCCAUGUGUGUGUUCCAUGAGUGAAGCUUUCCCCACAACUGUUCCCAUGGCAAGGGAAGCUCUACCUGAAGAAUUUCUGUAUGUCAGCUGGAACUGAAGCUUAAGAACAGAGAGAGUGAAUAGCUGACAAAACUUUAUCAGCGCACAACUACCUUUGCAAGCAGAUAUCCUUGCACAUCCUAUUGGGCUGUCCUGAUUUCCAGCUUCCUACAUUCCAGUUAAUAUUUCAUC